GUUAUCAUAAACUAGGAAGUCCAGCUCAGAGAAAGUACCGCAUGGUGUAGAUAGUGUAAUUCCAGUGUGUAAUCUAUCGCCAUCCUACCCCAUCGAAUUUGUUAGAUGCAAUGUCUUUCCAAGCAUUUUCUAUGUUCAGAAUUUAUGAAAGCUGGCUCCUCGGAUGCAACUGCCACAGCAUUAAAGCAAUGCUGUUUUGACUGACUAGAAACUGGUUUUGGAGCAGAAGGAAUUGAUUUCUGAAUGUGUAAUGGUUCUAUUUGAGCUCCACUUGCUUUGACUGAUGGAGGUACAGGUGGUCCUGCAGGAAUCACCAUUGCCAAAGAUUCAACAUAAGGAGUUGCAAGUCCCCAGAGAUGGUUCAUUUGUUUGUGUUUUAAAUUAAGUUCCUGUUGAUCAACAAUAUCUUGUUUAAUGAAAGAUAUAUGUGAUGGUACUGGCUUUUUAAAUCCACUUCCAGGCAUAAUAAGGCGUGGUAAUGAUCUCUUUGAUAAUGGAGGAUAUGUGCUUUUAUAAAACUUUGUCACACAUUUUGGCAAAGCGUUCAUGUGAAUUUCUAGACUUUGUUUUG